AACGAACGCUGGCGGCAUACCUAACACAUGCAAGUCGAACGAGAUCUUCGGGUCUAGUGGCGCACGGGUGCGUAACGCGUGGGAAUCUGACCUUUUGUUCGGAAUAACAGUUGGAAACGACUGCUAAUACCGGAUGAUGACGAAAGUCCAAAGAUUUAUCGCCAGAGGAUGAGCCCGCGUAGGAUUAGCUAGUUGGUGUGGUAAAGGCGCACCAAGGCGACGAGACUUAGCUGGUCUGAGAGGAUGAUCAGCCAAAAUGGGACUGAGACACGGCCCAGACGCCUCCGGGAGGCAGCAUGGGGGAAUAUUGGACAAUGGGCGAAAGCCUGAUCCAGCAAUGCCGCGUGAGUGAGAAAGGCCUUAGGGUUGUAAAGCUCUUUUACCCGGGAUGAUAAUGACAGUACCGGGAGAAUAAGCUCCGGCUAACUCCGUGCCAGCCGCCGCCGUAA
rnacentral:rRNA from 1 species